rnacentral:lncRNA from 1 species
CUUGUUAUUAAGAAUAAAUUUUAUCAUCAUUUCAUGAUAAGAUUAGUUUUUUUAUAGAAUUAAUCACAGAAAAAAUUUUAAAUUAUUUAAAAAUUUUUAAUUUUAUUCUAAACUUUAAUUUGAUGCAAUCAAAUCAUCAAAUUAAAAAACAAAUUUAAUUUAGACCUUGGCUAUGGAUUUCAUUUAGCUGCCAUUGCUAAAUGGUCACGAAAAAUCAUAUGAUAGAGAUAUGUGAUAGCACAGACUAAUGUGGGCAAAAUGUUUCUCCAUUUUUUCUUAUUUGUUUCAGUUGUGUAAUCCAAUUAUUUCUCUCAUUUCAAUGACUUAAUACCAUCGAAGCUUGUGAAAGUGGUGAUUUGCUGGUCAGCGAGAAGGCAGUACUUAGGUUCUUUAUUUCCAUGAUGAAGGUAAUUUCCUUACCUUCUGUGGAUAGGGUUUUAUCUUUCUUAAUCCAUCCGUUCUUUUCAUUAUUGAUUGUUAAUCGACUUUAGUUGCAAUUUGCAUGGGCUAUAC